rnacentral:lncRNA from 1 species
GAAAUCUCAUCGCCUUCACCAUGGACCUGCGCAGCGAUGACCAGACCUGACCCGCAUGAUCCACAUCCUGGACACGGAGCACCCCUGGGACCUGCACUCGAUCCCCUCCCUUCCAUGGGCCACCCGCUGGAGGUGGGGCUGGCGCUGCGGCACCUGCUCUUCCUGCUGGAGUACUGCAUGGUGACCGGCUACGACUGGUGGGACAUCCUGCUGCACGUGCAGCCCAGUAUGGUACAGAGCCUGGUGGAGAAGCUGCACGAGGAGUACACGCGCCAGACCGCUGCCCUGCAGCAGUCCUCUCCACCCGGAUCCUGGCCAUGAAGGCCUCGCUCUGCAAGCUGUCGCCCUGCACGGUGACCCGCGUGUGCGACUACCACACCAAGCUCUUCCUCAUCGCCAUCAGCUCCACCCUGAAGUCGCUGCUGCGCCCCCACUUUCUCAACACGCCUGACAAGAGCCCCGGCGACCGGCUGACCGAGAUCUGCACCAAGAUCACCGACGUCACAUUGACAAGGUCAUGAUCAACCUCAAGACGGAGGAAUUUGUGCU